rnacentral:rRNA from 1 species
CCUACGGGUGGCAGCAGUGGGGGAUAUUGCACAAUGGGGGAAACCCUGAUGCAGCGACGCCGCGUGGGUGAAGAAGUAUUUCGGUAUGUAAAGCCCUAUCAGCAGGGAAGAAAGAAGACGGUACCUGACUAAGAAGCGCCGGCUAACUACGUGCCAGCAGCCGCGGUAAUACGUAGGGGGCGAGCGUUAUCCGGAUUCACUGGGUGUACAGGGAGCGUAGACGGCCGUGCAAGCCAGGAGUGAAAGCCCGGGGCCCAACCCCGGGACUGCUCUUGGAACUGGGCGGCUGGAGUGCGGGAGGGGCAGGCGGAAUUCCUGGUGUAGCGGUGAAAUGCGUAGAUAUCAGGAGGAACACCGGCGGCGAAGGCGGCCUGCUGGACCGCGACUGACGUUGAGGCUCGAAAGCGUGGGGAGCGAACAGGAUUAGAUACCCGGGUAGUC